GGCAAGGUGGCUCAGUGGUAGAGUGCUUGCCUUGCAUGCAUGAGGCCCUGGCUU
rnacentral:tRNA from 1 species